ensembl:lncRNA
GUCGAAGUAUAUUGCCUCAGUUGUUAACAGAUCCUUUCAGUUUUACUAUUAGUCUUCUGGAUAUUCUGGUACCAAUGGCAACUCUUUUCCUUGUGGUGUUGUAUUUCCUAUCAUUUCAAGGUAAGAUUUUCUAAUCUUAAUUCCAAAAAUGAAAAUAAAAUAAUAUAUUAUUACGCAGUGAAUAGCCUACACUUGAAUUCACAAUUGGAAUAAUAGUAGGCCUACCUAUCGCGCAUGCUGGUUAGUUCAGAUUUGGAGGCUAUACUAGGUAGGCCUAUUGAACUUUUAUAUAAUAAUUUUAAUAGUUUAAUAGUUACUAACAACUUUUAAAGUUUACUCACUAAACCGAGAAGAACACAGACGGACAGUCCGACAGAAAGACAGAACAGAAAGUGAUGCAUGCGUGGAAGAUUAUUAGCCUACGCAAAUAUCAGAAGUUUUGAAGUUCAAAACAGGUUGAGGAACCCGAGCCAAUCACAACCAUGGAGCUUUAUACAAGAGCUCACUCUUCCCAAGGUCUCCGCAGCGCGUUCGGGGACCAGCACAGAAAGCUGACCGCAACGCAGGGAGAAAUGCUCGUUGUAAAGUGUGAUGUUGGGGGCACCAACAUCACCUGGACCCAUCACCACCCCUCAGAGAGCCAGCGGCCCCUGUUGCAGAGUCGUGAAGACCCGGACGAGGACGCCCUGGGGACCCCAGCGGGCACUUGGUGGUGCUGAGUGCGUCCGUGGAGAGGCAGGGCAACUACUCCUGCUCCCCGUGGAAUUCCAACGCCACCUGUUGGUACACUUUGACUGUGAGCC